UGUGUGGGGGGGGUGCCUAAUUACAUGCAAGUCGAGCGGACGGAUGGGAGCUUGCUCCCUGAAGUCAGCGGCGGACGGGUGAGUAACACGUGGGCAACCUGCCUGUAAGACUGGGAUAACUCCGGGAAACCGGGGCUAAUACCGGAUAACUCUUUUCCUCACAUGAGGAAAAGCUGAAAGAUGGUUUCGGCUAUCACUUACAGAUGGGCCCGCGGCGCAUUAGCUAGUUGGUGAGGUAACGGCUCACCAAGGCCACGAUGCGUAGCCGACCUGAGAGGGUGAUCGGCCACACUGGGACUGAGACACGGCCCAGACUCCUACGGGAGGCAGCAGUAGGGAAUCUUCCGCAAUGGACGAAAGUCUGACGGAGCAACGCCGCGUGAGUGAUGAAGGUUUUCGGAUCGUAAAACUCUGUUGUCAGGGAAGAACAAGUACCGGAGUAACUGCCGGUACCUUGACGGUACCUGACCAGAAAGCCACGGCUAACUACGUGCCAGCAGCCGCGGUAAU
rnacentral:rRNA from 1 species